UACGAGUACCCCAAGCGUUAUCCGGAAUCAUUGGGCGUAAAGGGUGUGUAGGUGGUCUAAUUAGUCUUCUGUUAAAACUUCGGGCUCAACCCGAAAUCUGCAGAGGAAACGGCUAGACUCGAGGGUGCGAGAGGUGAAUGGAACUCAUGGAGUAGGGGUGAAAUCCGUUGAUAUCAUGGGGAACACCAAAAGCGAAGGCAAUUCACUGGCGCAUUUCUGACACUGAAACACGAAAGCGUGGGUAGCGAACGGG
rnacentral:rRNA from 1 species